CAUAUAAGGGACUUCCAUUGGAGAGAAAGUGGAGUAGGCAGAAUUGUGGCUAUGAAAGAAGAGAGUCACAGCCAGGUAGGACUCUAUCUUGGCCAGGCCCACCUGCUCUACAGAAGAGCAGCAGUUAGGCACACAUUCAUCUUACCUGGGUCCAGGUAGUGCAAAGAGUCAGUGUUGUCCACUAUUAAUUGUAACAGCAAUUCCUGCCAUUCAUAUCGGGUUGGAGGAAGUGGAGAUUAUAUAUAUAUAUAUAUAUAUAUAUACACACACACACACACACACACAUACACACACACACAUAUACAUACACAUACACAUACAUGCACACGCACACGCACAUACAUACAUACACUAGCUGUGCCCAGCCACACGUUGCUGUGGCGAAGUAUGGUGGUAUGGGAAAUAAAGUAUUGAGGAACUGGUGGUAAUUAAGGUAUAGGGUAAAGGUUUUCUCCUGACAUUAAGUCCAGUUGUGUCCAACUGCACACUGAAGUGGAUUAUAUGGCAGUGUGGAGUCAAGAUAAUUCAGUUCAAAGCAGAUAAUCUAUAUAUAUAAAAGGAUAAAGUUGCGGGCGCAGUGACUAUAACAACAAAACUAAACAUCCCAGAAAUACGAAAUUUGGCAACACAAUGCAAAAUCCUUGCCUCCCGGUUACAACAACACAACCACACCACAAAGCCACAAUCCGGACCCACAAAACUCACAACAACACUUCAUGACUAUAACAACACAACUAAACGCCUCAGAAAUACAAAACUUGGCAACACAAUGCAAAAGCCUUGCCUCCCAGUUGUAACAACACAACCACACCACAAAACCACACAGGACCCACAAAACUCACAACAACGCAUCGUGACUAUAACAACACAAUGCAAAAGCCUUCCCUCCAGGUUGUAACAACACAACCACACCACAAAACCACAAUCCGGAGCCAUAAAACUCACAACAAGGCAUCGUGACUAUAACAACACAACUAAACAACAACACAUCAUGACUAUAACAACACAACUAAACGCCCCACAAAUACGAAACUUGGCAACACAACACAAAAGCAUUCCCUCCCGAUUGUAACAACACAACCACACCACAAAACCAUAAUCCGGACCCACAAAACUCACAACAGUGCAUCGUGACUAUAACAACACAACUAAACGCCCCAGAAAUACAAAACUUGGCACACAACUAAACGACCCAGAAAUACAAAACUUCGCAACACAACACAAAAGCCUUGCCUCUCAGUUGUAACAACACAACCACACCACAAAACCACAAUCCAGACCCACAAAACUCACAACAACGCAUUGUCACUAUAACAAAUACAACAUUUGACAACACAACUCAUCCACCUCCCCAAUCCCUACAUUCACACUUGGCCUCCAAAAAAACAAUUACAAUAAUAACAAUGACAACAACGACAACAAUAAGAAUCAACACCAUCACAGGCAAGAAACAGCCAGGCACUGAGGCUGAGAGGCCAGUCAGUACUACACUGGGCCUCCAAAAAACAAUACAGUAGCAUCUAACUUAUCCAGCCUUCAUAAUCACUACAACAACAAUAAUAAUAAACACCUACACAGGCAAAACAAAAAAAAGACUAUUGUACCGCAAUAAAAAUAUAAACCGCACUCAGCAGAAUCAGACAUUACGAUUAACAACAAACCAAAGACAACAGGGAUCUCAAGCAAUUAUCAAUCAACACAAAAAUUGAAAAAAGUAACAGACUUCAAAUACUACUACUAAUGUGAGUAUGAAGAAGGGUGGAGGUCACAGCAUCAAUACAACCUAAUGUAGACUGACCAACACCACCAGACUAAGCCACAGCAACGCGUGGCCGGGCACAGCUAGUAAGAUUAUAAAUGGGUUAUAUAGCUGUGUGGAAGGGCCUUGAGUCUACACUGCCAUAUAAUCCAGUUAAAAUAAGAUAAUCUGUAUUUUAUAGGCAGUGUGGAAGAGGCCUAACUGAGGCCUAACUCUGCCUGUCCCCUGGGCUGAGUGGGUUGCUAGGAGACCAAGUGGGUGGAGCUUAGUCUUUGAACUGGCAGCAAUUGGAUAAAAACAAUUAUUCCUCUCCUUCUAAUUAGGACUUUAUUUUUCUUUUUUUGUUGUUGUAUGAACGUAGAGGCAUGGAUGAGGGGUUGUGCUGCCAAGUUUAGUGUUUCUGGGAUGUGUAGUUUUGUUGUUUUGUCCUAGGCCAAAAUUUCAUUACCCUUUUAUACACACACACACACACACUGGGUUGAACCGCCAGCUACAGAAGAUCUUGGUGACCGGAAGGUUGGCAGUUCAAACCGUGGAUUGGGGGUGAACUGCAGCUGUCA
ensembl:lncRNA